rnacentral:rRNA from 1 species
UACGGAGGGGGCUAGCGUUGUUCGGAAUUACUGGGCGUAAAGCGCACGUAGGCGGCUUUGUAAGUUAGAGGUGAAAGCCCAGGGCUUAACCCUGGAAUUGCCUUUAAGACUGCAUCGCUAGAAUCGUGGAGAGGUGAGUGGAAUUCCGAGUGUAGAGGUGAAAUUCGUAGAUAUUCGGAAGAACACCAAUAACGGCGAAGGCAGUUAACUAUUCUGUUACUGACAUUGAGGCACGAAAGCGUGGGGAGCAAAACGG